rnacentral:lncRNA from 1 species
CAAGAAUCCGACUGUCAUGCUUGGAGCUUCAACACUUUAAUUUUCGUGGCUCAAACAGAAAUGGUUCCUUCUUGAAAGUUGUUCAUCUGCUCAAGAACUAGAGGGUGUCCAAAAUUCAGCUCCAUUGGAGAAAAGCAGCAGCUGCAAAAAUUUGAUAGAGAAAAGGAGGCGAAGCUUUGUUGGAUUUCUAGGCUGGGGAAGAUUCCAGUUUUUGUAGCAACUUCAGUACUGGUGAAUUGCUUGUAUUUUUGUCCAUAACUAAAUUUUGGACUUUGAAUUAUUAUUUGAUCUAUUAUAAUAUGUUUGGGAACAUAUAUAAGUGAAUAAAUAAGAAAGAAGAUUUUGGGCCCUUGUGGGUGUAAAACAAAAAAUGUUUAUGUUUACCCAAGUGUUUUUUGUACAAGUUUCAAGGGCAUCUUGGGUUUUGUGAACAAAAUUUGUUUAUUUGGAGCAAGGUUUUGUGUUGAAGCUUUCUAGGUGAAGCGUUGAUGGUGAAGCUUUGUAGAUGAAGCUUUGUAGAUGAAGCUUCCUAGGUGAAGCUUUGAUGGUGAAGCUUGGAUGGUGAAAGUAUGUAGAGGGAGCUUUCUAGGUGAAGCUUUUUUAGGUGAAGCUUUGUAGGUGAAGCUUUUUUUAAGUGAAGCUUUUCGGGUGAAGUUUUUUUUGGGUGAAGCUUUUUAGGUGAAGCUUUGUGGGUGAAGCUUUGGAGGUGAAGCUUGGAUGGUGAAAGUAUGUAGAGGGAGCUUUCUAGGUGAAGCUUUUUUAGGUGAAGCUUUGUAGGUGAAGCUUUUUUAAGUGAAGCUUUUCGGGUGAAGUUUUUUGGGUGAAGCUUUUUAGGUGAAGCUUUGUGGGUGAAGCUUUGGAGGUGAAGCUUGGAUGGUGAAAGUAUGUAGAGGGAGCUUUGUAGGUGAAGCUUUGUAGGUGAAGCUUUUUUAAGUGAAGCUUUUCGGGUGAAGUUUUUUGGGUGAAGCUUUGUGGGUGAAGCUUUUUAGGUGAAGCUUUGUGGGUGAAGCUUUAGAGGUGAAGCUUUGUAGGUGAAGCUUUUUUUUAAGUGAAGCUUUUCGGGUGAAUUUUUGUUUGGGUGAAGCUUUGUGGGUGAAGCUUUUUAGGUGAAGCUUUGUGGGUGAAGCUUUGGAGGUGAAGCUUUU